rnacentral:rRNA from 1 species
GACAUAGGUGGCGAACGUUUAUCCGGAAUUAUUGGGCGUAAAGGGUGCGUAGAUGGUUUUAAAAGUUACUAGUAGAAAACUAAGGCCCAACCUUAGGAAAGCUAGUAAUACUAUAAGGCUAGAGUGCAGGAGAAGUUAACGGAAUUCCUUGUGGAGCGGUGAAAUGCUUAGAUAUAAGGAAGAACAUCAAUGGCGAAGGCAGUUAACUAUUCUGUUUCUGACAUUGAGGCACGAAAGCGUGGGGAGCAAAACGG